UACGUAGGGGGCAAGCGUUGUCCGGAUUUAUUGGGCGUAAAGAGCGUGUAGGCGGCCAUGUAGGUCCGUUGUGAAAACUCGAGGCUCAACCUCGAGACGCCGAUGGAAACCAUCUGGCUAGAGUCCGGAAGAGGAGAGUGGAAUUCCUGGUGUAGCGGUGAAAUGCGCAGAUAUCAGGAAGAACACCCGUGGCGAAGGCGGCUCUCUGGGACGGUACUGACGCUGAGACGCGAAAGCGUGGGGAGCAAACAGG
rnacentral:rRNA from 1 species